rnacentral:rRNA from 1 species
UACGUAGGGUGCAAGCGUUGUCCGGAAUUAUUGGGCGUAAAGAGCUCGUAGGCGGUUUGUCGCGUCGAAUGUGAAAACCCGGGGCUCAACCCCGGGCCUGCAUUCGAUACGGGCAGACUAGAGUUCGGUAGGGGAGUCUGGAAUUCCUGGUGUAGCGGUGAAAUGCGCAGAUAUCAGGAGGAACACCGGUGGCGAAGGCGGGACUCUGGGCCGAUACUGACGCUGAGGAGCGAAAGCGUGGGGGAGCAAACAGG